rnacentral:misc_RNA from 1 species
GUAACUACUGUCCGGAAGUUACUGACAAUGUAAACAAACAGUCUGGAGUAUGACACUCAAUAUCUUACAACUGCCACCUGAAUUAAUUGCUCAUGUACUGAAAUUUCUAUCAUCGUCAGAUCUCGCUACGGUUGCUCUUGUCAGUAAACAGUGUAGAGAUUUAGUUAGUUUAGAGUCGUUAUGGCAACAUCGAUGCGGGCAAGAUUACAGUUUUGAUGAAGUGGAAGGAUGGGACCUCACAUACAAACAGUUUUAUACAAAGGUGCUGCAUAAGUUUGGUAACUGCAUUGGAAAGUGGCAGCCAGAAGUAGGUCAUUAUGGAGGACUGAUUGAUAUUAAGUUUGACAGGGGAUGUAUCAAAGGCAGAGAAUGUCUCCCCCCUGUGGACCCUCAUGUCGACCAACCACUGAGGAUACGGCCCCUGUUCUCCAUGAGCAUGGCCCUGGACCGGUCCACACUGGAGGUGUUCUGUCUGAAGGGGUUUAAUGGCCCCCACAAGGGCCAACUGCUUUGGCGAGAAGAUGGGAGCCUGCUGGUGUUUCAAUGUUCUGAAAACAACAACCACCAACACCCUGAGGGGAAACAGAAGGAGUUCGAGGAGUGGUUGACGGAGGAGACAGGCCGUCCUCCAAGUGAGUUCUUCGUCCAUGGCCAGGAGUUGCUGCUCAUGAAGUUCCUCGUCACCACACAGCUGGGAUGCUCCUACCCCAUGAUGCGGAUCACGGAGCAGCCAGUGAAGCCAGGGGCUCCGAUACAGCCGGGACUGUUCAAGGGCAACUACGGUGGUCAUGGCAACGAGAUUAUACAGCUGUCCUACAGUGAUACAGAGAAGAAGGCGGAAGGAAGGAAGAUAACGGGCGACCCAAAUGUGCCGGCCAACAAGAUGAGUUUGCAAAUAGAUCUGGAUCACCCAAUGAUCCUCACCAUGGAUCAGCAGAGAACUGUAGAGCUGAUGGAGGAGAUUGACAUCCCCGAACUGCCUCCUGAUGUCAACCUGCAGCAACUGCCCCCACAACCCUUCCACGUCCCCGACGACUGCUACGAGAGAUUCAGACACCCCCCAACUGUGUGUAGAGCAAGAUUUCAUGGGAAAGGUCAGAUUGCUGGGCACGGCUUCACGAACCCCUCCAUGUCGUCAGGGCACUUCAUAAUAUUUGAUGACCAUAAUUUUGGAUUUUUGUGGUUGGAGUUAAAGUCCUUUAGUAUGUACUCCCGAGUGCUAGAGUUCCCCUGUCUAUGAUAGCAGCAACACGGCAGAUCACUGGCGCCAUGGGUAUCUCCAGGGAUCGUCAUUAUAGACAAGUCUAUCUCUUUGGCGUAUAAAAUUCUUCGUGUCCCAGUUUCAUAGAUCGAUGCUUGUGUUGUCAAACACUCGAUUGUCUGGUCCAGACUAAUAUUUACAGACCACUGUCAUACAGUUGGAAUAUUGCUGAUUGUGGUGUUAAAUAACAAAGAGAGAAAAAACUAGUGACAUUGUUCCCAACAAGGCAUUAUUGCAGUGUGUUCUCACAGAUGUGACAACCCCAUACAGAGUGCAAUUAAAAAUAAGUGGAAUAAUUGGCUUUGAAAAAUAGUAACUGUUUCAUUGGCAUUCUAAAAGUUGGUGAUUUAGUAAGAAAAUGUACAACUUCAUGGAUAACAACUUCUAGUUUAUUGCAUAUAGCGACGUUACGUUGUAGAAUCUUACAUCAUCACUCCAGCUUGAUAACGGUGUAAAAAAUUGCUAUAUUCAAUUAACAGAAAUUGUAUUCCAUAAAUUUGUAAACUGCAAAAUAGUAAUUUAAGAAUUAAUUGCCAAAAAAAAAUAUAAUGAUCACCAGCAGCAUCAGCGGUAGAAACUAACAGUUUUAGUCCACUAGUCCUUAUAAUGAUAACAUAUAGCAAACCCCUUAAAAAGGGCAAAUUUGUACUAGUCCUUAUGAUACCUUAACUGCUGGGCAUUUUGGCCAGGACUACAGGACUUGUGCCAAUUACUAAUGCUGAGCAUGAUAGCCAAUAUAGUUUUGAUAAGCAAUAUGCUCGCUUUUGUAUUGUAUUUUAUCACCCUAAUUCCUAAAAAACUGUCCUUUUUCCCCGAAGUGAUUAUCAAUUGAUGACUUAUAGGUUGUUACUGUGAUGAUACUUGCAGAAAGUAUGUAGCUAAUCUAAACUACUGGAGAUAUUUUUGUAACAAAAUUUGUAAAAUAUUUUACUUAAUCGUGUAGCAAUUAUGUGGAAAAAUGGUUUGAAAUACUGUGAUGAAUCUACCGCCACAAGGAGCACAGAUCUGAAUAUUUGUCCUAUAUGGUUGAAUAUUGCAUAAUGUACUUAUAUUUUUGCAACCAAUUACCAAGUAUAACUAUCAUAUACACCAUUUGUAUUUAGAAAUAUCAACUCAACUUUUGAUGGGUAGGGAGUAUCUGGGUAGGGUCUGAUUGCUUGGAUAUGUUGUUGUACAAAUAGUAUUCGAUAUUGCCAUGGAACUGAAGGAUGUGACGCUUCAUCUCAAGUUGAUAUAACGUAAAUAGAACUGAAGGAUGUGACGCUUCAUCUCAAGUUGAUAGAACGUAAAUAGAACUGAAGGAUGUGACGCUUCAUCUCAAGUUGAUAGAACGUAAAUAGAACUGAAAGAUGUGACGCUUCAUCUCAAGUUGAUAGAACGUAAAUAGAACUGAAGGAUGUGACGCUUCAUCUCAAGUUGAUAGAACGUAAAUAGAACUGAAGGAUGUGACGCUUCAUCUCAAGUUGAUAGAACGUAAAUAGAACUGAAGGAUGUGACGCUUCAUCUCAAGUUGAUAGAACGUAAAUAGAACUGAAAGAUGUGACGCUUCAUCUCAAGUUGAUAGAACGUAAAUAGAACUGAAGGAUGUGACGCUUCAUCUCAAGUUGAUAGAACGUAAAUAGAACUGAAGGAUGUGACGCUUCAUCUCAAGUUGAUAGAACGUAAAUAGAACUGAAGGAUGUGACGCUUCAUCUCAAGUUGAUAGAACGUAAAUAGAACUGAAGGAUGUGACGCUUCAUCUCAAGUUGAUAUAACGUAAAUAGAACUGAAGGAUGUGACGCUUCAUCUCAAGUUGAUAUAACGUAAAUAGAACUGAAGGUUGUGACGCUUCAUCUCAAGUUGAUAUAACGUAAAUAGAACUGAAGGAUGUGACGCUUCAUCUCAAGUUGAUAGAACGUAAAUAGAACUGAAGGAUGUGACGCUUCAUCUCAAGUUGAUAUAACGUAAAUAGAACUGAAGGAUGUGACGCUUCAUCUCAAGUUGAUAUAACGUAAAUAGAACUGAAGGCUGUGACGCUUCAUCUCAAGUUGAUAUAACGUAAAUAGAACUGAAGGAUGUGACGCUUCAUCUCAAGUUGAUAGAACGUAAAUAGAACUGAAGGCUGUGACGCUUCAUCUCAAGUUGAUAUAACGUAAAUAGAACUGAAGGAUGUGACGCUUCAUCUCAAGUUGAUAUAACGUAAAUAGAACUGAAGGAUGUGACGCUUCAUCUCAAGUUGAUAUAACGUAAAUAGAACUGAAGGAUGUGACGCUUCAUCUCAAGUUGAUAGAACGUAAAUAGAACUGAAGGAUGUGACGCUUCAUCUCAAGUUGAUAGAACGUAAAUAGAACUGAAGGAUGUGACGCUUCAUCUCAAGUUGAUAGAACGUAAAUAGACCUGAAGGAUGUGACGCUUCAUCUCAAGUUGAUAUAAGGUAAAUAGACCUGAAGGCUGUGACGCUUCAUCUCAAGUUGAUAUAACGUAAAUAGAACUGAAGGAUGUGACGCGUCAUCUCAAGUUGAUAGAACGUAAAUAGAACUGAAGGAUGUGACGCUUCAUCUCAAGUUGAUAUAACGUAAAUAGAACUGAAGGAUGUGACGCUUCAUCUCAAGUUGAUAGAACGUAAAUAGAACUGAAGGAUGUGACGCUUCAUCUCAAGUUGAUAUAACGUAAAUAGACGGUUAAAAAAAAGUCUGAAAGGCAUUUAAAAGUGAUACACAUAAGGAAGAGAAUUUAUGGAUGCCAACUUCUUUAUUAUGGGGAACACAAUGUUUCGGAGAAGAUGCUUACUCCUUCACCUGAUGAAGUAUAUACUCUGAAACAUUGUGAUCCUCAUAAUAAAGAAGUUGACAUCCAUAAAUUCUCUUCCUUAUGGUUCAAACAGUUUAUUGCGGUUAUCGUGUAACGUCCCAGCAUGCAGUGUUCCUGUGACAUCGUGUAACGUCCCAGCAUGCAGCGUUCCUGUGACAUGUUGAGUGGCAUAUAGCCACCAGUAGUCAAGAGAUAACGUACACUUUACAAGUAUGUGUGUGAGUGUUUAUGAAGCUGUGAGUCCUGCAUCGGCUGCAGCUGGAAUAUACAGAGGUACUGUACCUCACCUGGACAUUGUCCAAACAUUCAAAACUUGGAGAGUUCAGAUAUAGCACUAUAUACCCCGGUGUGCCGAGACCUACAGUUGUAGGAGGGAAAAGGGUGUCCAGGUUAAUACUUGUUUGAAAAUGUUGUUGUCAUAACACAAUUGGAUUUAUACCAAUACUCUGUCAUAAAAAUCAGAUCUGUGACAAGAUACUCGUAUUUUAUACCAAUAUUCUGUCAUAAAAAUCAGAUCUGUGACAAGAUACUAGUGAAAGAGAUUUUAUACCAAUGGACUGUCAUUAUGAUCAGAUAUGUGACAAGGUUGUGAAAACUGAUUGUGUCGGGGAUCAUCUUCCCAAGGGAAGGGAGUUAACUGACUGUAAAAGUCCAUUUUCUACCCUUGCUGAACAAGUCUGGAAUUUCUGGGCUUGAUUGUAGAACCACCUGCAUCUAUUACGAGUUAUGUCCUUCGAUGUCCCUUCUAUUGACCAAUCAGAAUCCACCUCUCAUAUCACUUACAUUUGCUUCAAACAUAAAGGCGGCGCCUAGUGAAGACGAUCUGAUCGAUUAUCAAGAUCUGUAUUGUAACAAAACGGGCCUUACUUUGCGAAGUGCAUCAAACCACGUGAGCAUCUUGAUCAAAACAUCUGGGAAAUUUCUGUUGACAGUAUGUUGAUGGUUCACUUGUUUUUCAACUUCUGGAGUUGACCGAAAUCUGCACGGCAGUUGACCGAAAUCUGCACGGCAGUUGACCGAAAUCUGCACUGCAGUUGAUGAACCGGAUGUGGAUUUUGUUACACAAUUUUGAUUGGACUAUUGGAAGAUGGUUGUGAUUGUGAUAGAUAGCGAUCAUGUGAUGUUAUUGUUUAUUUGUGAACAAAUAUAUACUGAAUGAAAUUAAUAAGGGGACAGAUACAGAAAAUUCUUGUAUGCCAUGAAAUCUUGAGGACUGGACUGUCGUAUUCAGUGGAUAUGAGGUGCCACUAUUACCAAGACAAUUAACAUUGUUCCCUCAUUGUUUUCCAUAAGUAUAUGUUGAUUUCUGCGCUCCAGAUCCUGUGAUGUGUACUGUUGAGAUGGCACUGCCCCACCAGCAUGUGAUAGCCAUACACAAAUAAAGCUAUUUAUACAUU